GCCAAGAUGGCGGAGCGGCUACGCAAUCGCCUGCAGAGCGAUUUCAUUCCAGUUCGAAUCUGGAUCUUGGCU
rfam:Methanosarcina acetivorans str. C2A, complete genome.